AACGAACGCUGGCGGCAGGCCUAACACAUGCAAGUCGAGCGAGGACUUCGGUCCUAGCGGCGGACGGGUGAGUAACGCGUGGGAACGUGCCCUUUGGUUCGGAAUAGCCCUGGGAAACUGGGAGUAAUACCGGAUGAGCUCUUCGGAGGAAAGAUUUAUCGCCAAAGGAUCGGCCCGCGUUGGAUUAGGUAGUUGGUGGGGUAAUGGCCUACCAAGCCGACGAUCCAUAGCUGGUUUGAGAGGAUGAUCAGCCACACUGGGACUGAGACACGGCCCAGACUCCUACGGGAGGCAGCAGUGGGGAAUCUUAGACAAUGGGGGAAACCCUGAUCUAGCCAUGCCGCGUGAUCGAUGAAGGCCUUAGGGUUGUAAAGAUCUUUCAGUGGGGAAGAUAAUGACUGUACCCACAGAAGAAGCCCCGGCUAACUCCGUGCCAGCCGCCGCGGUAAGAC
rnacentral:rRNA from 1 species